rnacentral:rRNA from 1 species
GCCCACAAUCUAGCCUACCCGCAAUUUUAUAUAGACUUACACCAAAACCUUUUAUAAUAAAACAUUCUCAAGUUUUAGUAGAGGCGAUCGAAAAAAAUUUUAGAGCUUUAGAUUAAGUACCGCAAGGGAAAGAUGAAAUAAAAAUGAAACAAGCUUAAAGCACAAAAAAGCAGAGCACUCCCUCGUACCUUUUGCAUCAUGGUCUAGCCAGUCUAAUCAAGCAAAAUGAAUUUUAGUUUGACCCCCCGAAACCAAGUGAGCUACUUCAAAACAAUCAUAUGGACUAACCCGUCUCUGUUGCAAUAGAGUGGGAUGAUUUUCAAGUAGAGGCGACAAACCUAUCGAACUUGUAGAUAGCUGGUUACUUAAGAAAGGAAUAUUAGUUCAACCUUAGGUCUCCCAGUUAGCACAAAAACCUCGCAAGACUUAAGAGCUAUUCAAAUAAGGCACAGCUUAUUUGAAGCAGGACACAACCUACAACAUAGGGUAAUACACUUUUUCAAUACACACAAAGUGGGCCUAAAAGCAGCCACCUUUAAAAAAGCGUUAAAGCUUAGUGGUAAUUGUACUCAAAUACCUUAAUUUUUUUAAAACCCUUCAACAAUAUUAAGUAACUCCAUAAACCUAUGGAAGAUAUAAUGCUAGAACUAGUAACAAGAAAGUGAAUUUCUCCAAAAUGCAAGCUUAAGCCAGAAUAGACCACCUACUGGCAACUAACGUAACUGAUCUCACUAUAGCAACACCUACAAGAAAACCCUAUACUAUCUUACGUUAACCUUACACUAGAGCAUUCAUGGAAAGAUUAAAAGAAAAAGAAGGAACUCGGCAAACCUUAACCCCGCCUGUUUACCAAAAACAUCGCCUCCUGAUUCACAUAGGAGGUCCAGCCUGCCCAGUGACAGAGUUCAACGGCCGCGGUACCCUAACCGUGCGAAGGUAGCAUAAUCACUUGUUCUUUAAAUGAGGACUCGUAUCAACGGCAUCACGAGGGUUAUACUGUCUCCUUUUUCCAAUCAAUGAAACUGAUCUCCCCGUGAAGAAGCGGGGAUACACCUAUAAGACGAGAAGACCCCAUGGAGCUUUAAACCCAACGGCACUCCUAUCUUUACACACCCCCUCACCCAAUAGGACCCUGCACGCUUGGUUUUAGGUUGGGGUGACCGCGGAGAACAAAACAACCUCCACAAUGAAUGGGACCUCCCCUUAUCUAAGAGACACAUCUCUAAGAAUUAGCAAACUAACAUAAAAUGAUCCGAUAUUCGAUCAACGAACCAAGUUACCCUGGGGAUAACAGCGCAAUCUACUUCAAGAGCUCCUAUCGACAAGUAGGUUUACGACCUCGAUGUUGGAUCAGGGUAUCCCAGUGGUGCAGCAGCUACUAACGGUUCGUUUGUUCAACGAUUAAAACCCUACGUGAUCUGAGUUCAGACCGGAGCAAUCCAGGUCGGUUUCUAUCUAUAAAGAGUCACCCCUAGUACGAAAGGAUCGGGGUAACGUGGCCCCUACUAAAGUAAGCCCCCCUCCCACCACCAAUGCAUCUAACUUAAUUGGCCCGGAACUACGAAUCUACCCUAAACCAGGGUUU